ACCGCGGUAGCCCAGUUGGUAGUGGCGUCAGCAGUACAGAUGCCGAAGGUCGCAGGUUUAAAUCCUGCCUGCGGUG